GUCACUUUGCCGGAGUGGUUAACGGGAUCGCCUGCUACUGCGGUAGCUUAGUCAGCGGUUGGGCUUUGCCCGCGAGUGUUCGAAUCGCUCAGGUGACG